rnacentral:rRNA from 1 species
GAUGAACGCUGGCGGCGUGCCUAAUACAUGCAAGUCGAGCGAACGGACGAGAAGCUUGCUUUUCUGAUGUUAGCGGCGGACGGGUGAGUAACACGUGGGUAACCUACCUAUAAGACUGGGAUAACUUCGGGAAACCGGAGCUAAUACCGGAUAAUAUUUUGAACCGCAUGGUUCAAAAGUGAAAGACGGUCUUGCUGUCACUUAUAGAUGGAUCCGCGCUGCAUUAGCUAGUUGGUAAGGUAACGGCUUACCAAGGCAACGAUGCAUAGCCGACCUGAGAGGGUGAUCGGCCACACUGGAACUGAGACACGGUCCAGACUCCUACGGGAGGCAGCAGUAGGGAAUCUUCCGCAAUGGGCGAAAGCCUGACGGAGCAACGCCGCGUGAGUGAUGAAGGUCUUCGGAUCGUAAAACUCUGUUAUUAGGGAAGAACAUAUGUGUAAGUAACUGUGCACAUCUUGACGGUACCUAAUCAGAAAGCCACGGCUAACUACGUG